rnacentral:rRNA from 1 species
UACGAAGGUGCAAGCGUUAAUCGGAAUUACUGGGGCGGUAAAGCGCGCGUAGGCGGCUUGGUAAGUUGGAUGUGAAAGCCCCCGGGCUCAACCUGGGAACUGCAUCCAAAACUGCCAGGCUAGAGUAUGGUAGAGGAUGGCGGAAUUUCCUGUGUAGCGGUGAAAUGCGUAGAUAUAGGAAGGAACAUCAGUGGCGAAGGCGGCCAUCUGGACCAAUACUGACGCUGAGGUGCGAAAGCGUGGGGAGCAAACAGGAUUAGAUACCCCCGUAGU